rnacentral:rRNA from 1 species
UGCCAGCAGCCGCGGUAACACGUACUGCGCAAACGUUGUUUGGAAUUACUGGGCGUAAAGCGCACGUAGGCGGAUUUUUAAGUCAGAUGUGAAAUCCCGAGGCUCAACCUCGGAACUGCAUUUGAAACUGGGAGUCUAGAGAUCAGGAGAGGUUAGUGGAAUACCGAGUGUAGAGGUGAAAUUCGUAGAUAUUCGGUGGAACACCAGUGGCGAAGGCGACUAACUGGACUGAUACUGACGCUGAGGUGCGAAAGUGUGGGGAGCAAACAGGAUUAGAUA